UACGAAGGGGGCUAGCGUUGCUCGGAAUGACUGGGCGUAAAGGGCGCGUAGGCGGAUACUUAAGUUAGAGGUGAAAGCCCAGGGCUCAACCCUGGAACAGCCUUUAAUACUGGGUAUCUUGAGUUCGGGAGAGGUGAGUGGAACUCCGAGUGUAGAGGUGAAAUUCGUAGAUAUUCGGAAGAACACCAGUGGCGAAGGCGACUCACUGGCCCGAUACUGACGCUGAGGCGCGAAAGCGUGGGGAGCAAACAGG
rnacentral:rRNA from 1 species